AUCACUUCUCGGCCUUUUGGCUAAGAUCAAGUGUAGAAUAUUUCUAUUGCUGAAUUAUUAAUUUUCAUUUUAUGAGUUUUAUCAUAU
rnacentral:snRNA from 1 species